UACGUAGGUGACAAGCGUUGUCCGGAUUUACUGGGCGUAAAGAGCGCGCAGGCGGUCGUUCAAGUCGAGUGUGAAAGCCCCCGGCUCAACUGGGGAGGGUCACUCGAUACUGAUCGACUCGAAGGCAGGAGAGGGAAGUGGAAUUCCCGGUGUAGUGGUGGAAUGCGUAGAUAUCGGGAGGAACACCAGUGGCGAAGGCGGUUACCUGGAGCUUUGCUGACGCUGAUGCGCGAAAGCGUGGGGAGCGAUCCGG
rnacentral:rRNA from 1 species